AAACCAAUAACAUCUUGUUUAUGAUCAGAGACAAAUUAAUUUACUACAACUGCCUUUGGAGCAAGGGAUCUAACAUAGUCCCAUUUUGAGAUGCGAGGUGAUACACUCAUUUUUUUGUUACCGAUGUGGAGGAAGGCUUUAUCUUAAUAAGGUUGUUUUUGUUAGCACUACCUUGUUUAACUUUUCUCAGCCUGGAACGAGUCACAGUGGCAAUAGGUAAAGCUGUACUAACUACUCUGGCUAUGCUAUCGACAGACUCCACUAUGCUAGCAGGCUGGCUAACAGCCUGCAGCCUGACCUGCACCCUAUCUCAUGUUAAGGCUAUAGGAGUGAGACUCCUGUCGAUGUUCCUAGACAAAAGAAGAGCACCACUCCAGCUAGGAUGGAGUCCGUCGCUCCUCAGCAGAUCAGGCCUGGCACUAUUUCUGGGAGAGUCCCAAAAAGAAAGCCAGUUAUCUACAAACUCUACCUCCUGCGACGGGCAGAACUCCGUUUUCAGCCAGCGAUUGAGUUGCGCAAGUCUGCUGUAGUGCUCGUCACCACCCCUAGCUGGGAGGGGGCCAGAGACAAUUACUCGAUGCCGACAUCUUUCUAGCUAGUUUACACGCUGAUGCUAUGUUCUGCUUCGUAACCUCUGACUGUUUCAUCCUAACAUCGUUGGUGCCAACGUGAAUAACAAUAUCUCUGUACUCUCUAUACUUGCCAGUUUUAGACUUUGCUAGGACCAACCCCAGAUUUGCGGCUACGUCGGUGGCUGCGAGUUCCUGUCGUAUCCAGUUUAAAGAAACCAGAGAUUAGUGUCAGUCAUAAUGAGAAGGAUGUCAUCAUCUCCUGUGAGAUUCCUGGACCUGCUGGUAAUGACACCACUUGUAACCUGUAUGUUGGAGAUCAGAGUCAACAUCUCCAGAACAGAAAGAUCUGGAGGAAAAAAUCAUCCAGGUCCAAGACAUCAUUCUGUCAGUUCACAGUGACUGAAGAUGACCUGAUCAGACAUCUACAGUCAGUAGGGAGUCAGGAGGUGAGCUGUGACUACAGAGUGAGUUCAGGACCAAACUCUCUCUCUCCACGUAGUGACGGGUACAUUAUAACAAAUUUGAUAGCUAGUGCUACUUUGAUCCCCAAAACAACAUUGAGACCAACUACCAGUUCAACCACUUCUUUGACCCCCACAGCAACAACAUCAGGUUCAACCACUUAUUUGACCCCCACGGCAACAACAUCAGGUUCAACCACUUCUUUGACCCCCACGGCAACAACAUCAGGUUCAACCACUUCUUUGACCCCCACAGCAACAACAUCAGGUUCAACCACUUCUUUGACCCACACGGCAACAACAUCAGAUGCUUAUGACUGGGGGAUCAAAUACAGCCGUAGAUCACUGAAAUUGAAAUUAUUAUGGCUUGCAGCAGUGGGUGUGGCUUCUGGAGUGGGCGUGUUCCUGGUGGGAUUGACAGUUGUCUGUCUCCGUAGGAAGACAAAUCCUUGGCACAACUGUAAUGAGGACGCGCGUGGAAGACGCACGCCCUCCCCCCCGGCGUGGUAUUCGGCGUGCGUAAUCGCCGGCCUUCUAGUCACGCCGCUCCUCCUCCCACGGCACUGUCAUGUCUUGUUAUUGCACACACCUGGUGUCCAUUCCCUCAUUAGGUUGCCUAUAUUAGUUCCUGUGUUUCUGGGUGUCUUUGUGUGGUAUUGUUCCAUGUUUGAAGUAGUGUACCGUGCAUUGUCUGAACACUGGAUCCGUUUGUUUGCACUUCGACGCUCCGUUCUCUUGGGGAUUUUGUACGGAUGUGUUCAGUUUUUGAUUUUGGGAAUUAUACGUCAUAUACUUGGAUAAAGAAUUGACAACUACAAUUCCUGCGUUUGGCUCCUUUUCGCUGCACACCAGGGACAACAACACCAUUUUGCCAAUCACUAUUCCUAGUUUAAGCACAUGCAUCUG
ensembl:lncRNA